rnacentral:piRNA from 1 species
UCAGAACAUUGGGUGCUUCAAGUGAUUGC